rnacentral:rRNA from 1 species
AUCGAACGCUGGCGGCAUGCCUAACACAUGCAAGUCGAACGAGUGGCGGACGGGUGAGUACUGUCUGGGAAACUGCCUGAUGGAGGGGGAUAACUACUGGAAACGGUAGCUACUACCGCAUACCAUCAGUUGUGCCCAGAUGGGAUUAGCUUGUGGUUGGGGUAACGGCUCACCAAGGCGACAAUCCCCAGCUGGUCUGAGAGGAUGACGGCCAACACUGGAACUGGGACACGGCCCAGACUCCUACGGGAGGCAACGGUGGGGAUUAUUGGACAAUGGGCACAGGCCUGAUGCGGCCAUGCGGCGUGUAUGAAAAGGGCCUUCGGGUUGUAAAGUACUUUCAGCGGGGAGGCGUUACCCGCAGAAGAAGCACCGGCUAACUCCGUGCCACCAGCCGCGGUAAUA